AUACGGAGGGGGCAAGCGUUGUUCGGAAUUACUGGGCGUAAAGCGCGCGUAGGCGGGCUGGUUAGUUGGGGGUGAAAUCCCAGGGCUUAACCCUGGAACUGCCUUCAAUACUGCCAGUCUAGAGUUCGAGAGAGGUGAGUGGAAUUCCUAGUGUAGAGGUGAAAUUCGUAGAUAUUAGGAAGAACACCAGUGGCGAAGGCGGCUCACUGGCUCGAUACUGACGCUGAGGCGCGAAAGCGUGGGGAGCAAACAGGAUUAGAAACCCCUGUAGUCC
rnacentral:rRNA from 1 species